rnacentral:rRNA from 1 species
GAUGAACGCUGGCGGCGUGCCUAAUACAUGCAAGUCGAGCGAACAGACGAGGAGCUUGCUCCUCUGACGUUAGCGGCGGACGGGUGAGUAACACGUGGAUAACCUACCUAUAAGACUGGGAUAACUUCGGGAAACCGGAGCUAAUACCGGAUAAUAUAUUGAACCGCAUGGUUCAAUAGUGAAAGACGGUUUUGCAGUCACUUAUAGAUGGAUCCGCGCCGCAUUAGCUAGUUGGUAAGGUAACGGCUUACCAAGGCAACGAUGCGUAGCCGACCUGAGAGAAGGAUCGGCCACACUGGAACUGAGACACGGUCCAGACUCCUACGGGAGGCAGCAGUAGGGAAUCUUCCGCAAUGGGCGGAAGCCUGACGGAGCAACGCCGCGUGAGUGAUGAAGGUCUUCGGAUCGUAAAACUCUGUUAUUAGGGAAGAACAAAUGUGUAAGUAACUAUGCACGUCUUGACGGUACCUAAUCAGAAAGCCACGGCUAACUACGUG